rnacentral:misc_RNA from 1 species
AUAUGACCAAAUGUCUCAUUGCUAAAACAGUUACUGAAUACAACAACACAAAAUAGACGCGAGUGACACGUGAUGUCCUACAAAUAUUGAUAGUUCCUGCAAUGAAGGAAUGCUUAGAGAAAUGAUAUGUAACGCGGAUUAACAAAGAUACAUUUGGUACAACAUUAGCUUCAUCUUAGAUUUUGCUUGGUAGAUUUUCAACUUCUUGAAGAAACUGAUCCCACGUCGAGUACAAGAUCAGGUGAAGGACUAUAGAGGUCACACUCCUUUGGUAGCUCACUCUUGCUUCUUCCAUUUGUUUGAUUACUCUUUGAUGCAUCAGCUUCCCUUCCACUUUCACAUUUGAGUGGGUUUGGUUUAGCUUCAUACAGUGUGACACUGCCACCUCCAGUCAUAAGAAUUGCAUCUUCACCUUUAUCUUGUGGUUGAAGGCCUUCAAGUAUUUCAACAACUUGACUCAUGACAGGCCUUCCCUUUGGGUUUUGACUUAGGCAUUGAUAGGCUAGAUUAGCAACUUUCAAAGCAGUUUUAGAGGAGUAUUGACCGUCCAGUCUGGGGUCAAUUAUCCUGAAAAGCUUCUUGCCAUGAUUCAAGAGAGGCCGAGCAAACUCUACAAGGUUAUGCUCCCGGCUAGGUUUACUUUUGUCCAUAGCUCUCCUUCCAAUGAGCAUUUCAAGCAAAACAACGCCAAAACCAUAAACAUCACUUCUGGCUGUUAAAUGUCCGGUCAUGACAUACUCUGGAGCAGCAUAGCCAUAAGUGCCCAUCACACGAGUUGAUACAUGUGUUUGAUCUCCCAUGGGCCCAUCUUUUGCAAGUCCAAAGUCAGAAAGCUUUGCGUUAAAUUCCGCAUUCAACAAAAUGUUUGACGUCUUGAAGUCCCUAUAUAUUAUAGGCCUUUCAGCCCCAUGAAGAAAAGCAAGCCCUUUAGCAGCAUCCAAAGCAAUUCUCAUUCUUCUUGACCAAGAUAGAGUAGCACACACUUUAGG